rnacentral:rRNA from 1 species
AGUUUGAUCCUGGCUCAGAUUGAACGCUGGCGGCAGGCCUAACACGUGCAAGUCGAACGGUAACAGAGAGUAGCUUGCUACUUUGCUGACGAGUGGCGGACGGGUGAGUAAUGUCUGGGGAUCUGCCUGAUGGAGGGGGAUAACUACUGGAAACGGUAGCUAAUACCGCAUAAUGUCGCAAGACCAAAGCGGGGGACUUUCGGGCCUCGCACCAUCAGAUGAACCCAGAUGGGAUUAGCUAGUAGGUAAGGUAAUGGCUUACCUAGGCGACGAUCCCUAGCUGGUCUGAGAGGAUGACCAGCCACACUGGAACUGAGACACGGUCCAGACUCCUACGGGAGGCAGCAGUGGGGAAUAUUGCACAAUGGGCGCAAGCCUGAUGCAGCCAUGCCGCGUGUAUGAAGAAGGCCUUCGGGUUGUAAAGUACUUUCAGUCAGGAGGAAGGGCGUGAAAUUAAUACUUUCAUGCAUUGACGUUACUGACAGAAGAAGCACCGGCUAACUCCGUGCCAGCAGCCGCGGUAA